GUUCCAUCUUGACAUGUUACGGAAGAUGAAGAAUCCUGUGCUUCUUUUGAUGAUGAUAUGACACAUGUAGAGCAAUGGGAGAGUAUUUUGUUGAAGUUGAAUGAUUCCAGAAGAUACAGAAGAAUUGUUGGAUCUAUUGCUGGUUCAUGCUUAACAGCUGCAACCCCUCUAAUGGCUUCAGCGAAGCAAGUGGCAUGCUUGAUAGCCAUGGAUAUAAUUGAGGAUGGAAUCACAACACUUGCUAAAGUGGAAGAAGCUUAUCAGCAUGAAAAGGAAACUAAAGAAACAAUUGAGGAGGUGAUUCGUUCAUACUCAUUGUAUCAGCUUCAUGAUACUUUGGAUGCUGCUGAGGAAGGAACUGAUGAGAACAGGUUGCUUCCAGCAAUGAAUAAGAUAUGGCCCUUCCUGGUUGCUUGUAUUAGAAAUAAAAUUCCAGUGGCUGUGAGGAGAUGUACAAGUGUGGUGAGCAAAGUCGUGCAAAUAUGUGGAGGAGAUUUCUUUUCACGCCGCUUUCACACUGAUGGAUCACACUUUUGGAAAUUUCUUUCCAUGUCUCCAUUUCAGAAAAAACCCUUCUCAAAAGAAGAAAGAAUCCCAUUACAACUUCCUUACAGAAGCACUCCUACUUCUUCAGAGGACUCGAUGGCAGAAGUUUCAAGCUUGAAAGUCCAGGUUGCAGUGCUUAACAUGAUAGCUGAUUUAUCCCGAAACAAAAGGAGUGCUUCAUCAUUAGAAGCAGUCCUUAAGAAGGUUAGCGGUUUGGUCGUGGGGAUAGCAUGUAGUGGUGUUGCUGGCCUUCUGGAUGCAUCCGUUAAUGCGUUACAAGGACUUGCAUCUAUUGACCCUGACCUUAUUUGGCUUCUAUUAGCUGAUGUAUACUACUCUCUGAAGAAGAAAGACCUGCCUUCUCCACAUGCUUCAAGUUUUCCACCGAUCUCUCAGAUUUUGCCCCCUCCACUUUCUCCUAAAGGAUACCUCUAUGUACAGUAUGGAGGACAAAGCUAUGGUUUUGAUAUUGAUUUCCACUCUGUAGAAGCUGUGUUUAAGAAACUACAUGCCCUGGUUUUUAGUACUCAAAAGUAUAUAUGAAAAGCGAUUACAAAGUAAUAGCUUUCAGAUACUUUUAGUCCCUUUUUAGAGCUCAGAGUGUGGUGGGCAUUGUUU
rnacentral:misc_RNA from 1 species